GAGCUUCCGCAGCCCAUCUAGUAAAGAUGGGAAUACAGAAAAAGUCCGCACGGCCCCUGUGCAAGGAUAACACGCACAUCCGUGAAACAGUCCAUAUUUUU
ensembl:snRNA LOC120095708 U6 spliceosomal RNA